CCUACGGGAGGCAGCAGUGAGGAAUAUUGGUCAAUGGGCGCGAGCCUGAACCAGCCAAGUCGCGUGAGGGAAGACGGUCCUAUGGAUUGUAAACCUCUUUUGUCGGGGAGCAAAAGACGCCACGCGUGGCGUUCCGAGAGUACCCGAAGAAAAAGCAUCGGAUAACUCCAUGCCAGCAGCCGCGGUAAUACGGAGGAUGCGAGCGUUAUCCGAAUUUAUUUGGUUUAAAGGGUGCGCAGGCGGUAGAUCAAGUCAGCGGUAAAAUUGAGAGGCUAAACCGCUUCGAGCCGUUGAAACUGGUUGUGUUGGGUGAGCGAGAAGGAGGCGGAAUGCGUGGUGUAGCGGUGAAAUGCAUAG
rnacentral:rRNA from 1 species